rnacentral:lncRNA from 1 species
UAUCUCGCCCACAAAAAGAAAGCAAAUUUUAAAUCAUAAAAUUGUAUUUGACGACUUCGAUGAAGUACCGCUUCGAAGGAUUAUGCAUAAUUAGUAUACUGAAAGAAAAGAAGUCCAAUUGUAACCAAGUUGGUCAGUGAAAGGACUGCAGGAUUUGACGGUAAAAGGGAAUUUAUAAGAAAGCAGCUUCAGGAAACUGGCUUUCGAUUUUAAAAAGCAAAUCUAAUAGAUGCAUUCUUACAGAGAAACCGGAAAUAGUUGUAGCAGACGCCAUUGUCUUCGAGAAAUUAGAAGCGAAAAUAAAUUUAUCAUAUAUUUGAACGAAACCUCUGUCCACACAACUACUGUUGUUGGAAAAUAUUGGCAAAGCGACAAAGAAAAUGGGAUUUUAAAAAAAUGCAGUAAAGAGCUAGAUUCACGCAGGGAGGAGAAAAUGGAUUCUUUAAAAACGCUGGCCUUAUAUAGGCUUACCAUACGUCCGGGAUUUGCCCAGACAAUCCUGAUUUUUUAGUGCUGUCCGGGGUUUGAGAAUUU